rnacentral:rRNA from 1 species
CUCGUAGGCGGUUUGUCGCGUCGGGAGUGAAAACCCAGGGCUUAACUCUGGGCUGGCUUUCGAUACGGGCAGACUAGAGGUAUGCAGGGGAGAACGGAAUUCCUGGUGUAGCGGUGAAAUGCGCAGAUAUCAGGAGGAACACCGGUGGCGAAGGCGGUUCUCUGGGCAUUACCUGACGCUGAGGAGCGAAAGUGUGGGGAGCGAACAGGAUUAGAUACCCUGGUAGUCCACACCGUAAACGUUGGGCGCUAGGUGUGGGGCCUAUUCCAUGGGUUCCGUGCCGCAGCUAACGCAUUAAGCGCCCCGCCUGGGGAGUACGGCCGCAAGGCUAAA